UGAUGAAUACCAACGGCUCUGAU
rnacentral:piRNA from 1 species